AUUGAACGCUGGCGGCAUGCCUUACACAUGCAAGUCGAACGGUAACGGGCCUUCGGGUGCCGACGAGUGGCGAACGGGUGAGUAAUACAUCGGAACGUGCCCGAUCGUGGGGGAUAACGAGGCGAAAGCUUUGCUAAUACCGCAUACGAUCUACGGAUGAAAGCAGGGGACCGCAAGGCCUUGCGCGGACGGAGCGGCCGAUGGCAGAUUAGGUAGUUGGUGGGAUAAAAGCUUACCAAGCCGACGAUCUGUAGCUGGUCUGAGAGGAUGAUCAGCCACACUGGGACUGAGACACGGCCCCGACUCCUACGGGAGGCAGCAGUGGGGAAUUUUGGACAAUGGGCGCAAGCCUGAUCCAGCCAUGCCGCGUGCAGGAUGAAGGCCUUCGGGUUGUAAACUGCUUUUGUACGGAACGAAAAGCCUUCUUUUAAUACAGGAGGGUCAUGACGGUACCGUAAGAAUAAGCACCGGCUAACUACGUG
rnacentral:rRNA from 1 species